GGUGUCUGUGGUUGAUUGCUCGCAUAAUCCCACUCGUAUAGCAAGCAGUUUCAUGAUUUGUGAAGAACGUGGCUGCAGUUCUGUUCCCGUUAUUGGAGCCCAAGUGAUGCUGCAGCGAAAUCUACUGUGACUGAAACUUGAUGCUGACUGCUUGCGUAUUCUUCACCGCAUUACACUGACUGUGCUCUGUCUAAUUACUACACAACAAGUACUAUUUAUACUUGAGAAUAUCGCUGCAUUUCUCCAAUUGUUUCUGGAUCACAAGGAUGUAUUCUGCAAGAAUCUGUGCAAGUCUGCAAGCCAAAUCUACAGUGGAGUGCUGAUUGAGAAUAUACAGUGUUUACGUCAGCUGUGGAGCUGAUUUAUUGUAGUUUGGACACUACUUCAGUGGUGCUCUUGCUUCGUGUGUCUGUGCUACAUAUCAACAACUCGUUGUUUAUUGGCAAUAUACAGAACUUUGAUCGUGCUUUGGACGGACAAUCACAUCUUC